rnacentral:rRNA from 1 species
CAGUCGCCGCGGUAAUACAGAGGGUGCAAGCGUUAAUCGGAAUUACUGGGCGUAAAGCGCGCGUAGGUGGUUCGCCAAGUUGGAUGUGAAAUCCCCGGGCUCAACCUGGGAACUGCAUCCAAAACUGGCGAGCUAGAGUAUGGUAGAGGGUGGUGGAAUUUCCUGUGUAGCGGUGAAAUGCGUAGAUAUAGGAAGGAACACCAGUGGCGAAGGCGACUACCUGGACUGAUACUGACACUGAGGUGCGAAAGCGUGGGGAGCAAACAGGAUUAGAUACCCCCGUAGUCCCUGUCUCUUAUAC